rnacentral:rRNA from 1 species
CACGUAGGGGGCGAGCGUUGUCCGGAUUUAUUGGGCGUAAAGAGCUCGUAGGCGGCUCGGUAAGUCGGGUGUGAAAACUCUAGGCUCAACUAGAGACGCCAACCCGAUACUGCUGUGGCUAGAGUCCGGUAGGGGAGCAUGGAAUUCCUAGGUGGUAGCGGUGAAAUGCGCAGAUAUCAGGAGGAACACCAGUGGCGAAGGCGGUGCUCUGGGGCCGGU